CAAGAUAGAUGACUAGGACUCAAAUACCGGAAAAGAGAGGUCCACAGAACUUUUUCUCCAAGUGUGUCACCGAGAAAUAGUCCUGAAAGCAGAAUACCCCAACUGGCACAAGAGAACCACUGAUUUGCUUCCUGUCACCACAGGUCGUGCACACUGAGGAAGACAGACAACAAAUAACUCUGCGGAUAGAUCAACAUAGUGAGGAACUGAGUU
rnacentral:lncRNA from 10 species